rnacentral:piRNA from 1 species
UCACCGAUGACAACUGUGGUUAGUGGUUU